rnacentral:rRNA from 1 species
AGUGAACGCUGGCGGUAGGCCUAACACACGCAAGUCGAACGGCAGCACAGGAGAGCUUGCUCUCUGGGUGGCGAGUGGCGGACGGGUGAGGAAUACAUCGGAAUCUACUCUGUCGUGGGGGAUAACGGAGGGAAACUUACGCUAAUACUGCAUACGACCUACGGGUGAAAGCAGGGGACCUUCGGGCCUUGCGCGAUUGAAUGAGCCGAUGUCGGAUUAGCUAGUUGGCGGGGUAAAGGCCCACCAAGGCGACGAUCCUUCGCUGGUCUGAGAGGAUGAUCAGCCACACUGGAACUGAGACACGGUCCAGACUCCUACGGGAGGCAGCAGUGGGGAAUAUUGGACAAUGGGCGCAAGCCUGAUCCAGCCAUACCGCGUGGGUGAAGAAGGCCUUCGGGUUGUAAAGCCCUUUUGUUGGGAAAGAAAUCCAGCUGGCUAAUACCCGGUUGGGAUGACGGUACCCAAAGAAUAAGCACCGGCUAACUUCGUGCCAGCCGCCGCCGUAA